AUGCCAGACUCCUACGGGAGGCAGCAGUGGGGAAUAUUGCACAAUGGGGGAAACCCUGAUGCAGCGACGCCGCGUGAGUGAAGAUGUAUCUCGGUAUGUAAAGCUCUAUCAGCAGGGAAGAAAAUGACGGUACCUGACUAAGAAGCCCCGGCUAACUACGUGCCAGCAGCCGCGGUAAUACGUAGGUGGCAAGCGUUGUCCGGAUUUACUGGGUGUAAAGGGCGUGUAGCCGGGCUUACAAGUCAGAUGUGAAAUCCGGGGGCUCAACCCCCGAACUGCAUUUGAAACUGUAGGUCUUGAGUAUCGGAGAGGCAGGCGGAAUUCCUAGUGUAGCGGUGAAAUGCGUAGAUAUUAGGAGGAACACCAGUGGCGAAGGCGGCCUGCUGGACGAUGACUGACGUUGAGGCUCGAAAGCGUGGGGAGCAAACAGGAUUAGAUACCCGAGUAAC
rnacentral:rRNA from 1 species